rnacentral:pre_miRNA from 1 species
UUAAUUUUAUGUAUAUGCACUGACGCCGGUUAUUUUAAAAAUAUUUUAUAAAUAUUUUUGAAAUAACCGGCGUCAGUACAGUUGACAUCA